rnacentral:lncRNA from 1 species
CACGUCUUCUUUGGUGCCGGGCUGCCAUACUUUUUGCGAUGUUUGUUUACAUUUUGGGCAACACAAAUGCCUUUCAUUUUCACGGAAUUACACAAACCGUCAAAUGAGGAAACGUUACAAAGUACUUCACAACGUUGUCGACUUAUUCCGUAAAAAGUAUCAACAUCUAUAGUUUGCCUGGUUCGCCCUAUGCAUUAGAAAGCCAGAUCAAGCAAAAAUUUUGG